rnacentral:rRNA from 1 species
GAUGAACGCUGGCGGCGUGCCUAAUACAUGCAAGUCGAGCGAAUGGAUUGAGAGCUUGCUCUUAUGAAGUUAGCGGCGGACGGGUGAGUAACACGUGGGUAACCUGCCCAUAAGACUGGGAUAACUCCGGGAAACCGGGGCUAAUACCGGAUAACAUUUUGAACCGCAUGGUUCGAAAUUGAAAGGCGGCUUCGGCUGUCACUUAUGGAUGGACCAGCGUCGCAUUAGCUAGUUGGUGAGGUAACGGCUGACCAAGGCAACGAUGCGUAGCCGAGCUGAGAGGGUGAUCGGCCACACUGGGACUGAGACACGGCCCAGACUCCUACGGGAGGCAGCAGUAGGGAAUCUUCCGCAAUGGACGAAAGUCUGACGGAGCAACGCCGCGUGAGUGAUGAAGGCUUUCGGGUCGUAAAACUCUGUUGUUAGGGAAGAACAAGUGCUAGUUGGAUAAGCUGGCACCUUGACGGUACCUAACCAGAAAGCCACGGCUAACUACGUGCCAGCCGCCGCAGUAA